rnacentral:rRNA from 1 species
AUGUCCCAGCGCGUCAAGGGUGGGAAGGGGUUGGGCAAGGCCGGCCCUAAGCGUCACUCUAAGGUGUUGCGGGACAACAUCCAUAACAUAACCAAGCCUGUGAUCGGGCGGCUGGCUCGUAGGCGCAACAUGAAGCACAUCUCGGGGCUCAUCAACACGGAGACCCUCGACGUGCUCAAGAUUACUCUCGAGAACGUCAUCCGUGAUGUCGUCAGCUACGCUGAGCACCCCCGCUACAAUACCGUCACUGCCAUGAACAUUGUCUACGCGCUCAAGCGAUAGGACCGCACCCUCUACGCAUUCGGAUGCUAG